GACGAACGCUGGCGGCGUGCUUAACACAUGCAAGUCGAACGGAAAGGCCCUGCUUUUGUGGGGUGCUCGAGUGGCGAACGGGUGAGUAACACGUGAGUAACCUGCCCUUGACUUUGGGAUAACUUCAGGAAACUGGGGCUAAUACCGGAUAGGAGCUCCUGCUGCAUGGUGGGGGUUGGAAAGUUUCGGCGGUUGGGGAUGGACUCGCGGCUUAUCAGCUUGUUGGUGGGGUAGUGGCUUACCAAGGCUUUGACGGGUAGCCGGCCUGAGAGGGUGACCGGCCACAUUGGGACUGAGAUACGGCCCAGACUCCUACGGGAGGAAGAAGUGGGGAAUAUUGCACAAUGGGCGGAGGCCGGAGGCAGCAACGCCGCGUGCGGGAUGACGGCCUUCGGGUUGUAAACGGCUUUCGCCUGUGACGAAGCGUGAGUGACGGUAAUGGGUAAAGAAGCACCGGCUAACUACGU
rnacentral:rRNA from 1 species